rnacentral:rRNA from 1 species
UACGGAGGAUGCAAGCGUUAUCCGGAUUUAUUGGGUUUAAAGGGUGCGUAGGCGGAUUAAUAAGUCAGCGGUGAAACCUUCAGCUUAACUGGAGACUUGCCAUUGAUACUGUUAGUCUUGAGUAUGGUUAAGGUAGGCGGAAUGUGUAAUGUAGCGGUGAAAUGCUUAGAUAUUACACAGAACACCAAUUGCGAAGGCAGCUUACUGAGCCAUAACUGACGCUGAUGCACGAAAGCGUGGGGAGCGAACAGGAUUAGAUACCCUUGUAGU